rnacentral:rRNA from 1 species
ACAUGAAGUCGGAAUUGCUAGUAAUCGCGGAUCAGCAUGCCGCGGUGAAUACGUUCCCGGGCCUUGUACACACCGCCCGUCAAGCCAUGGGAGCCGGGGGCGCCUGAAGUGCGGUACCGCGAGGGCCGCCCAAGGGCGAGACCGGUGACUGGGGCUAAGUCGUAACAAGGUAGC